CCUACGGGAGGCAGCAGUGGGGAAUUUUGGACAAUGGGGGCAACCCUGAUCCAGCCAUUCCGCGUGAGUGAAGAAGGCCUUCGGGUUGUAAAGCUCUUUCGCAAGGGAAGAAACGUUACGAGCGAAUAACUCGUGAUAAUGACGGUACCUUGAUAAGAAGCACCGGCUAACUACGUGCCAGCAGCCGCGGUAAUACGUAGGGUGCAAGCGUUAAUCGGAAUUACUGGGCGUAAAGCGUGCGCAGGCGGUUUUGUAAGUCAGAUGUGAAAUCCCCGAGCUCAACUUGGGAACUGCGUUUGAAACUACAAGGCUAGAAUAUGUCAGAGGGGGGUAGAAUUCCACGUGUAGCAGUGAAAUGCGUAGAGAUGUGGAGGAAUACCAAUGGCGAAGGCAGCCCCCUGGGAUAAUAUUGACGCUCAUGCACGAAAGCGUGGGGAGCAAACAGGAUUAGAUACCCUGGUAGUCCACGCCCUAAACGAUGUCUACUAGUUGUUGGUGAGUAAACUCCAUGAGUAACGCAGCCCCUAAGCGUGAAGUAGACCGCCUGGGGAUACGGUCGCAAGAUUAAAACCUUAAAUGAAAUUGACCGGNNGAGAGNGCGACGACGACGACGAGGAGGAGG
rnacentral:rRNA from 1 species